rnacentral:rRNA from 1 species
GACAGAGGUGCCGAGCGUUAGGCGGAAUCACUGGGCUUAAAGCGUGUGUAGGCGGACCGUUAAGUACCUUGUGAAAUCCCCCGGCUCAACCGGGGAACGGCUGGGUAUACUGACGGUCUUGAGCCACCUAGGGGCGAGCGGAACAAGCGGUGGAGCGGUGAAAUGCGUAGAUAUCGCUUGGAACGCCGACGGUGAAAACAGCUCGCUGGGGGGUGUGCUGACGCUGAGACACGGAAAGCCCAGGGGAGCGAACGGG